rnacentral:rRNA from 1 species
AGAGUUUGAUCCUGGCUCAGAACGAACGCUGGCGGCAGGCUUAACACAUGCAAGUCGAACGCCCCGCAAGGGGAGUGGCAGACGGGUGAGUAACGCGUGGGAAUCUACCCAGUUCUACGGAACAAUAGUUGGAAACGACUGCUAAUACCGUAUACGCCCUACGGGGGAAAGAUUUAUCGGAAUUGGAUGAGCCCGCGUAAGAUUAGCUAGUUGGUGAGGUAAUGGCUCACCAAGGCGACGAUCUUUAGCUGGUCUGAGAGGAUGAUCAGCCACACUGGGACUGAGACACGGCCCAGGCUCCUACGGGAGGCAGCAGUGGGGAAUAUUGGACAAUGGGCGCAAGCCUGAUCCAGCCAUGCCGCGUGAGUGAUGAAGGCCUUAGGGUUGUAAAGCUCUUUCAGUGGGGAAGAUAAUGACGGUACCCACAGAAGAAGCCCCGGCUAACUUCGUG